rnacentral:ribozyme from 4 species
UUUUUUUUUUUUUUUUUUUUUUUUUUUU